UUCUUCGGAAGAGAGCGGCGGACGGGUGAGUAACGCGUGGGUAACCUGCCCUGUACACACGGAUAACAUACCGAAAGGUAUGCUAAUACGGGAUAACAUAUUUUUAUCGCAUGGUAAAAAUAUCAAAGCUCCGGCGGUACAGGAUGGACCCGCGUCUGAUUAGCUAGUUGGUAAGGUAACGGCUUACCAAGGCGACGAUCAGUAGCCGACCUGAGAGGGUGAUCGGCCACAUUGGAACUGAGACACGGUCCAAACUCCUACGGGAGGCAGCAGUGGGGAAUAUUGCACAAUGGGCGAAAGCCUGAUGCAAGCAACGCCGCGUGAGCGAUGAAGGCCUUCGGGUCGUAAAGCUCUGUCCUCAAGGAAGAUAAUGACGGUACUUGAGGAGGAAGCCCCGGCUAACUACGUGCCAGCAGCCGC
rnacentral:rRNA from 1 species